AGGGCGUACGGCGAAUGCCUUGCCACUCGAAACUGAAGAAGGACGCGCCAAACUGCGAAAAGCUCCGUGAAGCUGUAAGGAAGCGAAGAAGCGGAGGUGUCCGAAUGGGGGAACCCGGCAGCAGACAUGAGCUGUCAUCUGCAGGUGAAUACAUGGCCUGCAAGAGAGGUACCCGGCGAACUGAAACAUCUAAGUAGCCGGAGGAAAAGAAAACAACAGUGAUUCCCUGAGUAGCGGCGAGCGAAAGGGGAGAAGCCCAAACCGGUUGAAGGACCGGGGUUGAAGGACCAUGACAUGGCAAGAACGAGGAUAGGAGAACGGGAUCGAAAGCCCGGCCGAAGAAGGUGAAAGCCCUGUAAUCGAAAUCCGAGCAAAGCCUAAUGGGAUCCUGAGUACGGCGAGACACGAGAAAUCUUGUCGGAAGCAGGCGGGACCAUCCGCCAAGGCUAAAUAUAAACGAGUGAGCGAUAGUGAACCAGUACCGUGAGGGAAAGGUGAAAAGAACCGCGGGAGCGGAGUGAAAGAGAACCUGAAACCGUAUGCCUACAAGAAGUCAGAGCCCGUUAAGGGGUGAUGGCGUGCCUUUUGUAGAAUGAACCGGCGAGUUGCGACAGACUGCGAGGUUAAGGAGGAAAGACCGGAGCCGAAGCGAAAGCGAGUCUUAAGAGGGCGAAAGUAGGAUGUUGCAGACCCGAAACCGGGUGAUCUAGCCAUGAGCAGGUUGAAGUUGAGGUGAAACUCAAUGGAGGACCGAACCGACUACCGUUGAAAAGUUAGCGGAUGACUUGUGGCUAGGGGAGAAAUUCCAAUCGAACCCGGAGAUAGCUGGUUCUCCCCGAAAUAGCUUUAGGGCUAGCGUCGGAAAGAACCUUAGUGAAGGUAGAGCACUGAAUGUGUGAUGGCCCCAUCCCGGGGUACUGAAUACAAUCAAACUGCGAAUGUCAUUAAGGAUGUCCGGCAGUCAGACUGUGAGUGAUAAGGUCCAUGGUCAAGAGGGAAACAGCCCAGACCGCCAGUUAAGGUCCCAAAAUACAGGCUAAGUGGAAAAGGAUGUGGGGAUGCCCAGACAACUAGGAGGUUGGCUCAGAAGCAGCCAUCCUUUAAAGAGUGCGUAACAGCUCACUAGUCGAGUGACCCUGCGCCGAAAAUGUACCGGGGCUAAGCCUGAUACCGAAACUGCGGAUUGUAGGAAACUAUAGUGGUAGGGGAGCGUUGUAUACGAGCAGAAGCCGUACCGUGAGGAGCGGUGGAUUGUAUAGAAGUGAGAAUGCCGGUGUGAGUAGCGAGAUGUAGGUGAGAAUCCUACACACCGAAAGCCCAAGGAUUCCAGGGGAAGGUUCGUCCGCCCUGGGUAAGUCGGGACCUAACGCGAGGCCGAAAGGCGUAGUGGAUGGAAAGCAGGCGAAAGAUUCCUGCACCCGUAUAUGGAGCGAAGGAGUGACGGAGACGGAUAGUGUGACCCUCUUAAUGGAUUGAGGGCGAAGCGAAGCGGCUGGUUACCAGGCAAAUCCGGUAACCAUAAGGCUAGAGCGUGACAGGUAAGCGAAAUCUUAGGAAAGUAGCGAAGCACAUGAUGACGGCUUCCAGGAAAAGCUUCUGGCAAUGCAUAUGCGGCCCGUACCAAAACCGACACAGGUGGGCAGGGAGAGAAUCCCGAGGUGAGCGAGAGAACUGUUGCCAAGGAACUCGGCAAAAUGACUCCGUAAGUUAGCGAGAAGGAGUGCUUAAGCAAUUAAGCCGCAGUGAAGAGGCCCAAGCGACUGUUUAACUAAAACACAGCUCUCUGCGAAGUCGCAAGACGAAGUAUAGGGGGUGACACCUGCCCGGUGCUGGAAGGUUAAGAGGAUCUGUUAAGAGCGAUCUGAAGCAGUGAUCCGAAGCCCCAGUGAACGGCGGCCGUAACUAUAACGGUCCUAAGGUAGCGAAAUUCCUUGUCAGGUAAGUUCUGACCCGCACGAAAGGCGUAAUGAUUUGGGCACUGUCUCAACAGCCCGCCCGGCGAAAUUGUAGU
rnacentral:rRNA from 1 species